AUUCUUCAAGGUCUACUUUGAUGGGAGUUUUUAUAUUUCAAAAGGUUUGAUCCAUCCUGCAACUGCCAUGGGAAGUGCCAUUGCGAAGUCAGGAGCAGAGUGAGUAGCCACCCUCGCAAGUGACAUGUCUUCUGGGGAUUUUUGGAAGCUUCUUCUAGAACACAGUGCAGUUGUACAGGAAGGAAAAAGGGAAUUCCCUGUACCAUUGGGAACUUUGCUGCUGCUUCUGUGAACUGUUCCAAGAGCUCCUGGAUCUCGCACUGCCAAAGUCCCCUUCUUACUUCAGUAACAGCAGAAUGACCUAAAAUUCUCCAGGGUGAGCCUGAUGACAGUUUCUAAUCUUUGUCCUGUGUGGGUGUUUACCACACACACACAAACACACACACACAAACGGUCUUCCUUAAGAUCCAGAUGCCCCCUCACACCCCCUGAGCCCAUUUCUCUGGUACCUGCUGCACAUCUACAUGAUGAACCUGUGGAAGCCAUGUUCAUGGGCAGGCCAUGUCGGCUACAGAGUCUCUGCUUUGUACAGUCACAUGAGCUAUUUUUCUCUCAAGGCUUUGCUUUUGUGUCGAAAUUUAUCAUAUUUUUUUUGCCUCAGUCCAGAUGUGAAUUUUUUUUUUCUGAAAACUUGAAGAAAAACCUUUAAGCUGUUUUGGACUUACUCAAGCAUGUAAAAAGGAUAUUUUCCACCCACAAUUCAGAUGCUUAGUAUGUUCUCAAAGAGCCCAAAUAAUUUGAAUUUAAAACUUUGAAUUGGGCCCCUUUAUGUAGUAUCUUUAAAAGGUGCCAUUUAUGAAGAAAAAUAUGGUCAUGAAAUAAAGGAUAUGGGGAAUAAGUGAUCCUGCCAGUUACAGUAAUAGAUGGAGACUUAUAAAUCUUAGUUUCUAUUCUUGGCUCUGGAAAGAAUUAUGUGUCCGCUGUAUUUGGCACAUGCAGGGAAAGAGACUGAGAAGUUGGACAUGCAGGGAAUAAGGUCAUCCCGUACUAGCUACACUGUAAAAGCCACACAUGAGAGACCAGAGUGAACAUGUGGAGCCACACUAAAGAAACACCAAGUCAGAUGGGGUCAGCCAGGACUGCACCCAAGAGGCACAGAGGCACCUGGUAGGGCAGGAGGUUGUGGGCGGGGGGGGCACCUAUGGGCUAAGUACAGGGGCAUUCUGCCAGGUGGGAAGCGGUAGGGUGUCCCCAGCUGAGUAGGGAUCCAGAUGCCACUCUGCCAGAUUCUAGCUGUGUGAUCUAAGCCAAUUACUUAACCUUCACUUGAGCUGCCAUAAAAAGUUACCAUAGAGGCCGGGGAUUUAGCUCAGUGGUUCUGCCACCUGCUUCGCAAGCAGAAGGACCUGAGUUCGAUUCCCGACACCAAAAAAAAAAAUAAAAGUGCCCACACCCUACUGAGGUCCUGAGUCACGCGGAAGAUGCCUAAUCACCCCGCUGCAGACAGGCAGGUCUGUCCACACCUUACCGAGGUCCCCAGUCACGCAGAACACACGCCGAAUCAGCCCACUGCAGACAGGCAGGUCUGUGCACGCCCUACCGAGGUCCUGAGUCGCGCGGAAGACACCGAAUCACCCCACUGCAGACAGGCAGCCACCUGAUUCCACACUACAAAGACUCACAGGACACCAGACCACCAGACCAAGGUACUGAGUCCCACUGUUCCCAGCCCAGAGGAAGGGGCUUCUGAGCCACCAUCCCACUGCUCCUGGUCCAGAGGAAGGGGUUUCCCAGCUACCAUCCCUCCUGCUGCUCCCAGCCCACAGGAAAGGGCUUUUGGUUCACCAUCCCUACCGCUGCUCGCAGCCCCUGUCCCACCUCACCCAGCUCAGAGGAGGUAAUCCGUGCAGGCACUAACAGCCCCCCGCCCCAGUCAAAAUGAGAAAACACAUAAAUAAGUCUCAAAACCAGACUUCCAGAUCACCUACAGCAGCCCCAAAGGGAAAUGAGAUGGAACACUCUGAUACUCAACCACCUGGACCCAAUGAACUGGCAACAAAAGGGGAUCUGGAAAAAAUGAAAUCAGAAAUAAUUUCUCAGAUAACAGGAGAAAUUGUGCCCUUACU
rnacentral:lncRNA from 1 species